rnacentral:lncRNA from 1 species
AAUCUAAACAAAAACACAUUACACAAACUUCUAAGAUAAUCAUUCGAUAAUCUUUAACCGAAUACACGAGUAAAAUUGAUUUUCGACCAAAUUAAAAUGAAGAAUGGUGCUUACACAACUUGGCGACGAUUCCAGAGAAGUGAGUACGAAUGAAAAUCCUUAGUAGGGUCAAACCAGAGGUUCAAUCUUUGUUCCCUAUUGCCAACUCCAUUGACAUAUACAUUGGUCUGUACUAGGUAAGGUUCCCCUGUGGUGUUGCCCAGGAACUCAAAAUCAAAUUCAUUGUGAUAUGGGCCCUCUGAUGACAUCUGAUUACAUACAUAUAACAAUAUUAUGAUCAGAUCAGUCUUUUUGAUUAAGAGAUAAAUGAAGUUCUAUACAAAAAAGUAGGUUUAAAUAAGGAAAAUUUCAGCUGUGUCAAAUUGAAAUAUUUUUCUUUCUGACAGUCUAAAUAAAUGCAUUGAACGAAACUGGGCAAUUAUAAAGAUAUUUGUUCAAUCUUGCAAGGAAAUACAGUAAAAAUGAGUGAAAAUAUACAGUGAAAUAAAUGAAAAUGGGUGAGAAAUGAAGAAGUUUACAUAGAAAGCAGUGACAGUUCCAGCAGAAUCACCCUCUACUAGCUUGAUCUUAAUACUGACUUUCCCAAACAUAUAUUUGCUCUUUGAUGAAAACCCAGCUCCUGCAUUGCAAAAAUAAGAAACUUAUUCUCUUAAAAGUAGAAAAUCAGAAAAUAUGACUAACAGUGAGUAUCAACACUUAAAAUUGAGAAAUUGCAAGAAAUUUUACAUGAUGAGAACUUUCAACUUGAAAACUUUCUGUAUAACCCUUUUUUGACAAAAAAAAAAAAAACACCUAAAAACGAAUGGGUUUCAUACCAGAAUAGUUGUCGAGUUUCAUCUUCAUAAGCUCUCCUUCAUAGGCAAAAUGGUCAAGUGCCCAGCUGGGCUGAAAGAGCUCAUCAAAUCUUGAUGAACUCACAGAACCCACCAUUGCAAAAGCAAUGAAAACUCCCAAAACCAAAGACCCCAUUGAAAUUGGAACAGAAGACGCCAUUGAUUGAAAGAGAGAGAGAGAGAGAGAGAGAGAGAGAGAAGAGAGACUUCUACUUCUCUGGUGAAAAGUAAUGAAUUUCAAUACUUAUAAAUAAUUAUAAGCAAGCCCAAACACGUGUUAAAACCAUCCAAAGGUGAGUAACUCCACUGUGGCAUGGAAAGGCUAAUCCAUGUCCCUUCCCUAGCCCCACCUAAAAUUUAAGAGAAAAAUUCGUAAUUAAGAGGUCAAGUUUCACUUAUUUCAAAAAAUAUUAAUAACGGUUUUAAAUUUUAAAAAUCAGAUACUUGUUAAAAUUUAUUUAUGAUUUAAUUAAUUAAUUAAUUAUAGAUUUCAUUAAUUAAAUAUAUUAAUGUCAUAAAUCUAUACAAUUUGGUCACAAAUUAACGAUUUAGUUAGUCACAUUAUUUUUCAUUCACAAAUCAGAAGUUUAUAUGUUACAAAUUAUUAUAUGGUCACAAUUCAAAAAUUUUAUAGUUCAAAGUUCUUUUUAUUAGUCAUAAAUCACAAAUAUGAUAAGUCACAACCAUUAGACAAUCACAAAUUAUCUCACAAAUUAACAUUUUUAGAUCACACAUUAUUUUUUUUUUUUUUAUCACAAUUUAUCUUUCUCAUUGGUUACAUAUUGUUUAUUAGUCAUGGACCAUUGCCAACAUAUACAACCACACUUCAUCACUGCCUCCGGUAGCACCAUUACCAACGUUGCCACCAGAACCACCAUCACAACUCUCAACAGCAACACCAUUGUGACCAUCACCCACUAUCGCAUCGCACAGAGCACUAUCGUUAAACACCACCACCGCACAACAACCAGUUAGCAUCACUAGAGCCACCACCACGUUGACAUCACCAUCACAGACAACACAUCGUACCCACAACACCACCACCACCUAACCAUUGCACUAUACCACAUACAGCACCACAAACAUGCAUCCUAACCAGAUCCAAUCACCACCACCACCACCACAUCAUCAAAACCACCGUCGCUAAAACCACCACCACAGCCAUAUAUCACCAUAUCUAAUCGACUAAGAGCACUGUGACAUUAUCCAAAAACCAGAUACCAAUGACUGUGGUCGUAGCGACAUCAUCACGACAAAUGCAAAACACGAACGCUAUCAAAUGAUGCUGCGAACCACAACACCAUUAGUAGCGGCACCCGCGCAUGAUAGCUCCUACGAACGGCGAACAAUAUUGCCAUGUGAAGUUCGGUAGAGAGACGAUUUCGAUGCGUAUUGAAAUAUAAAGACGACAUCAUCACCAUAUCGGACAACAGCAGAUCACAGCAACGUCAUCUAGAUACUCUCUAGCGACGGCUUACGAUAGUUGCAAUAGAGAGGAUAGAAGAUGGGAUAGAGAACGAAAAUUAUUAGGGUUUGGGAGUGGUUGGGUAUGGUUAGGUGGGAUUAACAUAUAUAUUUAAUUUUGUAGUAUUUAAAAUUUUUAUUAUCAUCUGAUUUUUAAAAAGAAAACUUGUAAAUAUUAAUUUUGAAUUGCGAAGUUUAGAACUCUUGUUGGCUGUAAUUUCCACAAAAAUUAGCACGUUGUGGAGACAGCCUUUCUUUUGGGCUGUGUCAUAAUGGGCCCACUGACCUUUUACAGUCCCGUGAAAUGGCCCCGUGAACGGGGCACUAUAGCCCACUUGAUUUAAUAAAUUAAACCUCAAAAUAAUCACUAUUCUCCCUUUUUGUGGAUGCGUAUAGGGAAUACAUGGAUGGUAAAAAAUUCUUCUCUCAAAAAUUGGAGACAGGAUUUCUCAACUAAUCGAGAUGUCGAGGCAGGGACAAAAUCCCUCAACCGGUGGUAAAAAUCGAGGUCAACAAAAGUAUCUUCCGUUUUCUUAUCCAUGAUAUAAUUAUGCAAGAGGUCAAUCGAUAGGACCCUCUUUUGUUAUAUCCACUCAACUCCGUGAAUAAGAGACAAAUCUCUAUCAUCUUUUAAUUAAAAUAUUAUAUAAGAAGAGUCCUUCAUGGUCCUCAAUCUUUUUGGACAGUCUCGUUUAAGAUAUUUUUCAAAUACGAAAAUGACAAGCAAUAAAAAAUUGCACAACUAAACAAAUUUUGAUCAUGGACGCAAAGAAGGAAAUAAAAAAUUAAUUUCACCACAUUAUAUUACAUCAUAGUGCACGUUCAAAACUAUUUAACACGGGGUGUGACAAAUGAUGAAAGCUUUAUCACAUCUUUACAAUGGAAUUGACACACUCCAAGAUCAACACAUCCCUAGUGGUGAUGGUGCAGGCAUUCGACCGGAGCGACCGGGAAUCUCGAGGUAUCUUUGCAAUAGUCGUAAACCAUGUGAUUGGCCCGAACCCACUGAAGCUGGUGGCUCUGGUGGAGGCUCAGUUCCGACAUUGUUGGCUCAUCCCACCAAUACCCUUUCUCGCCACCAGCGGCGCUACAUCGCUUGAUGUUAUCGACAGCUGCCACUACCUCAGGACACUCACAAGCAUCGAUCUCGAAUCCCGUGUAGCUUGCAAUGAAAGGGGCAUGUGACCAAUCAGUCUUCACUCUCCCACCUUGUGUGGCCCAAUCAUCAGCAUUCCAUAUCGAGCUGUAAACUCCCAUGGAUUGGUCUUUAGGAUAUGGAAUCCCCUUGUGCUCCAAAUUCGAAUGUACACGAACCGGCGUCGCAUCGACCAAGAAUCUAAACAAAAACACAUUACACAAACUUCUAAGAUAAUCAUUCGAUAAUCUUUAACCGAAUACACGAGUAAAAUUGAUUUUCGACCAAAUUAAAAUGAAGAAUGGUGCUUACACAACUUGGCGACGAUUCCACAGAAGUGAGUACGAAUGAAAAUCCUUAGUGGGAUCAAACCAGAGGUUCAAUCUUUGUUCCCGAUUGCCAACUCCAUUGACAUAUACAUUGGUCUGUACUAGGUAAGGUUCCCCUGUGGUGUUGCCCAGGAACUCAAAAUCAAAUUCAUUGUGAUAUGGGCCCUCUGAUGACAUCUGAUCACAUACAUAUAACAAUAUUAUG